GAUGAACGCUGGCGGCGUGCUUAACACAUGCAAGUCGAACGGGAAUUACUUUAUUGAAACUUCGGUCGGUUUGAUUUAAUUCUAGUGGCGGACGGGUGAGUAACGCGUGGGUAUCCUGCCUUAUACAGGGGGAUAACGGUCAGACAUGGCUGCUAAUACCGCAUAAUCGCACAGAUCUGCAUGGCUCGGUGUGAAAAACUCCGGUGGCAUAAGAUGGACCCGCGUUGGAUUAGCUUGUUGGUGGGGUAACGGCCCACCAAGGCGACGAUCCAUAGCCGGCCGGAGAGGGUGAACGGCCACAUUGGGACUGAGACACGGCCCAGACUCCUACGGGAGGCAGCAGUGGGGAAUAUUGCACAAUGGGGGAAACCCUGAUGCAGCGACGCCGCGUGAAGGAAGAAGUAUCUCGGUAUGUAAACUUCUAUCAGCAGGGAAGAUAGUGACGGUACCUGACUAAGAAGCCCCGGCUAACUACGUG
rnacentral:rRNA from 1 species